GUAUAGUUAAGUGACUAAGCGUACAAGGUGGAUGCCUUGGCAAUCAGAGGCGAAGAAGGACGUGCUAAUCUGCGAAAAGCUUGGAUGAGUCGAUAAGAGGCGUUUAAUCCAAGAUAUCCGAAUGGGGAAACCCAGUAGAUGAAGAAUCUACUAUCAACAAGUGAAUUCAUAGCUUGUUGAGGCAAACCGGGAGAACUGAAACAUCUAAGUACCCCGAGGAAAAGAAAUCAACCGAGAUUUCGUCAGUAGUGGCGAGCGAAAGCGAAAGAGCCAGUAAGUGAUAGCAGUAUAGUUAGGAGAAUGUGUUGGGAAGCACAAUCAAAGAGGGUGAUAAUCCCGUAUCUAAAAACUAUAUUGUGGUACUAAGCUAACGAGAAGUAGGGCGGGACACGUGAUAUCCUGUUUGAAGAAGGGGGGCCCAUCCUCCAAGGCUAAAUACUCCUGAUUGACCGAUAGUGAACCAGUACUGUGAAGGAAAGGCGAAAAGAACCCCGGUGAGGGGAGUGAAAUAGAACCUGAAACCUUGUACGUACAAGCAGUGGGAGCGAGGGCAACCUUGUGACUGCGUACCUUUUGUAUAAUGGGUCAGCGACUUAUAUUUUGUAGCGAGGUUAACCGAAUAGGGGAGCCGAAGGGAAACCGAGUCUUAACUGGGCGAAUAGUUGCAAGGUAUAGACCCGAAACCCGGUGAUCUAGCCAUGGGCAGGUUGAAGGUUGGGUAACACUAACUGGAGGACCGAACCGACUAAUGUUGAAAAAUUAGCGGAUGACUUGUGGCUGGGGGUGAAAGGCCAAUCAAACCGGGAGAUAGCUGGUUCUCCCCGAAAUCUAUUUAGGUAGAGCCUUGAGGUGACACCUUUGGGGGUAGAGCACUGUUUCGGCUAGGGGUCCAUCCCGGAUUACCAACCCGAUGCAAACUACGAAUACCAAAGAGUGAUACUCAGGAGACACACGGCGGGUGCUAACGUCCGUCGUGGAGAGGGAAACAACCCAGACCGCCAGCUAAGGUCCCCAAGUCUAUAUUAAGUGGGAAACGAAGUGGGAAGGCUUAGACAGCUAGGAUGUUGGCUUAGAAGCAGCCAUCAUUUAAAGAAAGCGUAAUAGCUCACUAGUCGAGUCGGCCUGCGCGGAAGAUGUAACGGGGCUGAAAUAUAGCACMGAMSCWGCGGCRHCAKACAKWUAUUCUGUUGGGUAKGGGAGCGUUGUGUAAGCGGAAGAAGGUUGAUCGAGAGGUGGGCUGGACGUAUCACAAGUGCGAAUGCUGACAUAAGUAACGAUAAAACGGGUGAAAAACCCGUUCGCCGGAAGACCAAGGGUUCCUGUCCAACGUUAAUCGGGGCAGGGUGAGUCGGCUCCUAAGGCGAGGCUGAAAAGCGUAGUCGAUGGGAAACAGGUUAAUAUUCCUGUACUUGGUAAAGCUGCGAUGUGGGGACGGAGUAGGUUAGGUUAUCGCACUGUUGGAUAUGUGCGUUUAAGUUGGUAGGUGGGAAGUUUAGGCAAAUCCGGACUUCCUUAACACAGAGAGAUGAUGACGAGGCUCUACGGAGCUGAAGUAACUGAUACCACACUUCCAGGAAAAGCCACUAAGCGAAAGGCUUUACUAAACCGUACUGAAAACCGACACAGGUGGUCAGGUAGAGAAUACUCAGGCGCUUGAGAGAACUCGGGUGAAGGAACUAGGCAAAAUAGCACCGUAACUUCGGGAGAAGGUGCGCCGGCGUAGAUUGUAAGSGCUAGCCCCUGARGGUUGAACCGGUCGAAGAUACCAGCUGGCUGCAACYGUGUUUAUUAAAAACACAGCACUCUGCAAACACGAAAGUGGAGGUAUAGGGUGUGAUGCCUGCCCGGUGCUGGAAGGUUAAUUGAUGGUGUCAUCGAAAGAGAAGCACCUGAUCGAAGCCCCAGUAAACGGCGGCCGUAACUAUAACGGUCCUAAGGUAGCGAAAUUCCUUGUCGGGUAAGUUCCGACCUGCACGAAUGGCAUAAUGAUGGCCAGGCUGUCUCCACCCGAGACUCAGUGAAAUUGAAAUCGCCGUGAAGAUGCGGUGUACCUGCGGCUAGACGGAAAGACCCCGUGAACCUUUACUAUAGCUUGACACUGAACAUUGAAUUUUGAUGUGUAGGAUAGGUGGGAGACUUAGAAGUAGGAACGCCAGUUUCUAUGGAGUCAUCCUUGAAAUACCACCCUUUAACGUUUGAUGUUCUAACGAAGACUACGGAACGUGGUCUCGGACAGUGUCUGGUGGGUAGUUUGACUGGGGCGGUCUCCUCCCAAAGCGUAACGGAGGAGCACGAAGGUUUGCUAAUCACGGUCGGACAUCGUGAGGUUAGUGCAAUGGUAUAAGCAAGCUUAACUGCGAGACAGACAAGUCGAGCAGGUACGAAAGUAGGUCAUAGUGAUCCGGUGGUUCUGAAUGGAAGGGCCAUCGCUCAACGGAWAAAAGDUHCYCCBDMGGAUAACAGGCUGAUACCGCCCAAGAGUUCAUAUCGACGGCGGUGUUUGGCACCUCGAUGUCGGCUCAUCACAUCCUGGGGCUGAAGUAGGUCCCAAGGGUAUGGCUGUUCGCCAUUUAAAGUGGUACGCGAGCUGGGUUUAGAACGUCGUGAGACAGUUCGGUCCCUAUCUGCCGUGGGCGUUGGAUGAUUGAUUGGGGCUGCUCCUAGUACGAGAGGACCGGAGUGGACGCAUCACUGGUGUUCCGGUUGUGUCGCCAGACGCAUUGCCGGGUAGCUAAAUGCGGAAGAGAUAAGUGCUGAAAGCAUCUAAGCACGAAACUUGCCAAGAGAUGAGUCAUCCCUGACUUUAAGUCAGUAAGGGUUGUUGUAGACUACGACGUAGAUAGGUUGGGUGUGUAAGUGAUGUGAGUCAUUGAGCUAACCAAUACUAAUUGCCCGAGAGGCUUAACU
rnacentral:rRNA from 1 species